UACAGAGGGGGCAAGCGUUGUUCGGAAUUACUGGGCGUAAAGGGCGCGUAGGCGGCCUGUUAAGUCGGACGUGAAAUCCCUCGGCUCAACCGGGGAACUGCGUCCGAUACUGGCGGGCUUGAAUUCGGGAGAGGGAUGUGGAAUUCCCGGUGUAGCGGUGAAAUGCGCAGAUAUCGGGAAGAACACCCGUGGCGAAGGCGGCUCUCUGGGACGGUACUGACGCUGAGACGCGAAAGCGUGGGGAGCGAACAGG
rnacentral:rRNA from 1 species